GCCAUUCUCAGGAAGUGGCAUUUAAAGGAAGACAUGAAAGAUGAGAGGGCACCAACCAGCCAGCAGAAGGAGAAAGCCAGGUGUUCCAGAUGAAGGGGUUGACUGCAGCUGAAAGAAUGCCACGGUGUACUGAGAAGAGACAGAAUGAGAAGGAAGGCAGCUGCUGGAGCUCUGGAGGUAACCUGGGCAUGAGACACUCAGAAGUCAAGGAGCCAAGCACCCAGGCAACCCAGCCAGCCUGCGGACAAGGAGAAGCCACGGCAGGUGUGAACAGGGUGUGGCAGGGGCGCCCUAGCAGCAG